rnacentral:rRNA from 1 species
UGGAGGUUGUGCCCUUGAGGCGUGGCUUCCGGAGCUAACGCGUUAAGUAGACCGCCUGGGGAGUACGGCCGCAAGGUUAAAACUCAAAUGAAUUGACGGGGGCCCGCACAAGCGGUGGAGCAUGUGGUUUAAUUCGAUGCAACGCGAAGAACCUUACCUGGUCUUGACAUCCACAGAACUUUCCAGAGAUGGAUUGGUGCCUUCGGGAACUGUGAGACAGGUGCUGCAUGGCUGUCGUCAGCUCGUGUUGUGAAAUGUUGGGUUAAGUCCCGCAACGAGCGCAACCCUUAUCCUUUGUUGCCAGCGAUUAGGUCGGGAACUCAAAGGAGACUGCCAGUGAUAAACUGGAGGAAGGUGGGGAUGACGUCAAGUCAUCAUGGCCCUUACGACCAGGGCUACACACGUGCUACAAUGGCGCAUACAAAGAGAAGCGACCUCGCGAGAGCAAGCGGACCUCAUAAAGUGCGUCGUAGUCCGGAUUGGAGUCUGCAACUCGACUCCAUGAAGUCGGAAUCGCUAGUAAUCGUGGAUCAGAAUGCCACGGUGAAUACGUUCCCGGGCCUUGUACACACCGCCCGUCACACCAUGGGAGUGGGUUGCAAAAGAAGUAGGUAGCUUAACCUUCGGGAGGGCGCUUACCACUUUGUGAUUCAUGACUGGGGUGAAGUCGUAACAAGGUAACCGUAGGGGAACCUGCGGUUGGA